GAAGAUCGGCACAGCUUAGAAAAAGUACAAGAAGAAAGGAGAAGCAGCAAAAAAAAAAAAAUGAACGGAGUCAGAAUGCUAGGAAUGGUGUCUGGUACAGAAAUCGGACGAGGUUCAUCUACGGAACUAAGAUUUUGGGGGACUGAAAUGGAUGAACUCCUAGAACUGCUACAGGAGAAAGUGUUGAAGGACAUUUUGAAUCAAGAGAAAAUUCUAAAAAAUUCUGAAAAAAUUAAAAAAAAUAAGAAACAAAGCGCUCGUGGAGAAACCGAACGGGCGUAAUGCGAAGG
rnacentral:lncRNA from 1 species